GACGGAGGGUGCAAGCGUUGUUCGGGUUGACUGGGCGUAAAGGGCGUGUCGGCGGUUGGUCAAGUCCGAUGUGAAAGCCCGGGGCUCAGCUCCGGAAGUGCAUCGGAAACUAGCCAGCUGGAGCGCGAUAGAGGAGGGUGGAAUUCCUGGUGUAGCGGUGAAAUGCGUAGAUAUCAGGAGGAACACCGGCGGCGAAGGCGGCCCUCUGGAUCGUUGCUGACGCUGAGACGCGAAAGCGUGGGGAGCAAACAGG
rnacentral:rRNA from 1 species